rnacentral:tRNA from 1 species
CCGUCGCGGUGGGACGUGGGGCCGGGCGCUGGUAGCGUCCGGCCCCACCUUCGUUCAUCCGUUCGGGAACCGGUCGCGACCGGCC